rnacentral:tRNA from 1 species
UGGCUCAGUUGGUAAAGAAUCUGCCUGCAAUGCAGGAGACCCGGGUUCAAUUCCUGG